rnacentral:rRNA from 1 species
CUACGGGGCGCUGCAGUGAGGAAUAUUGCGCAAUGGGGGAAACCCUGACGCAGCGACGCCGCGUGGAUGAUGAAGGCCUUAGGGUCGUAAAAUCCUGUCAGGUGGGAAGAAGUGGAUAUAGAUUAAUACUCUAUUUCUUUGACGGUACCACCAGAGGAAGCACCGGCUAACUCCGUGCCAGCAGCCGCGGUAAUACGGAGGGUGCAAACGUUGUUCGGAAUUACUGGGCGUAAAGCGCGCGUAGGCGGUUUGUUAAGUCAGAUGUGAAAGUCCAUGGCUCAACUAGGGAAGUGCAUUUGAAACUGGUAGACUUGAGUACUGGAGGGGGUGAUGGAAUUCCCGGUGUAGAGGUGAAAUUCGUAGAUAUCGGGAGGAAUACCGGUGGCGAAGGCGAUCACCUGGCCAGAUACUGACGCUGAGGUGCGAAAGCGUGGGGAGCAAACAGGAUUAGAUACCCCCGUAGUC